UUCUUCUGGCGACAGCCCGUCUCUCUGCAGAGCGAGCAGAGAUCUGUCAAUCCUCGACAGCCGGCUGCACAGAGACAGCAGCAAGUUCACGAUCCUCUCCAGAUCACCUGCAAACAACAAACAGCGUCACUCUGAUGUCAUACCGAUGAACACGCUGUACUUGUCCUUCUCGUUGGUUUUGAGGUGGUCCUGCACCAUUGUGUCGAUGCUAUCCCCCAGCGCCUUGUGAUGCUUCUGCUCCUCACACAGCGCCUCUUUCUCCCGCUUCAGAGCCACCACGCUGCUCCUAAGAGCUUCACACAGCUCCACCUGGUGGACAGCAGGAGAAAUGUGAAAACAGUUGGCAGUUUUACCUUCUGCUGCUGGGAUUUUAGAUUGGUCUCCUUCUUUUGAUCUGUCGCCAUGCUCUGAGCAGGAUCGCAGAUGCCAGCCUGGGUCCUACAAAGAAGACAAUACUAUUUAAAAACAGAUAUUUUUGAUGUGACAGCCCUGUAUUUUAUCCAUUUUAAAGCAUUUGAAAGAACAGAAACACUUUUUCAAGGUCAAUUUAAAAAGGCUGAUGAAGUGGAGGCUCACAUUAAAGAAAAAGCUAUUUUACUGACCAGAUCCAGUCUGUUAUGCCAGCGACACAGUACCACUAGGUGUCAGUGUUGCUGCAGGAAUAAGCCUGAAGGGCUGGUUAGAUGGAAAAUGUAAAAAAGUUGUUUUAUUCCUACUUGUGGCCUUUCCAUUAAAACAAUAUAAUCAGAUAAAAUAUGAAGAGCUCUUUUGGAUUAGAGAGAUGCAAGAGUUUAUAAAACAGGCAAAAGAAGCCCCACCUUCAUCAGCUCUAGCAGUAAAAUACUGCCUCUGGGUGAACUCAUUAGUAAUAAUAAUCCAGUAUUAAGACACAUUUUAGGUACAUUUUUGCACUGUGUCAAAGUGUAUUUUCAUAUUGCAGAUUUCUGAACUUUCUAAAUGUAAAUAGCGAUGAACACACUCUUUGUUUCACAGAGUUUAAAAAGUCACCUGCAUUAGCUUCAUUUU